CGGGGCUGGUCGCGAUCCUUUGCUAUCAUCUGCUGGCGAAAAGCCCAAAAAGCAAGUGCAGCCUGUUGGGAGAAAACAAGUGUGGACCACUCAUUUUAAGUACCGUAUCUUGGUCCACUGUGGCUAAUACACACCAUUCUCCCCUAAAGAAGAGCAUUAAAGUACACACAGCAAACAUGGGUGAUGGAUUGGCAAAGCCAUCUGACUUUAUCAGGCCCAUGUGUCCUUUGGAUUCUGAAACUGUGAUGAGAUCUGCCACUGCUGAGCAUCCCCAGAAGUUUACUGGGAUCCAUGCCCUGUUGCUGAGCCAUCUUCUGCACGUCGAAGCCCAUAUGCAUAAGGAACUGGAUGACAUUCAUCUCCUGCCCAGUGAACUGGUCUCUGAUGGUGGGACAGGUGGGAUUACAGUGAGGCCAUGGGCAGCUGUCAAUCAAAUGCACAGGACAUCCUUUGGGUGGAGCCUUGUUGUUCCGGUGGUCCUGGAGGCUACGGUCCCAGCAAUGCAGAGCGCGGGGCAGAGAAGUUCCUUUCACUUGUAUGUCUAUCCAGUACCUGCAUUAUGACACAAGAGGGCGCUGUCACUUCACAUGUGUAAGGCUUUCCAAGGUUGGCCUGUCAGCUGAAUGUUGUCCACUGUCAGCUGGGCUUCGUCAAACAACCACUGCACCACAAAGACUGGGCCUGGAGAGAAAAAAGUUAUAUUGCCAUAAAUGAAUUAAAUAUGUAACAUAGACAAUAUGGGCUCCAUGUGUCAACAAGCAAGCUGACAUUCUUAUGCAUGUGUGUUUUACAUUGAGAUCAAACAUACUUUUUAUUGAUGAGAAGACUCUGUAACCAAAGAAACAGUUCCACUCCUCUCCUUCAUAACUUUUUCUGCAUCUCUCUGGGACUACUCCUCCCCAGUAUCUGAAGGAAGCAACAGAGUCUAAGAAUAAAUAAAAUGCAUAACAUUUAACCAUAUUUCCUGCAUUGUAUUUUUCAUGAACCUACUUGAUGCCUCGCUUGAUGGUCUCGGUUGGGGAACAGCUGACUGUGUCCACGCAGUCAGUGAAGUGGUACUGCUUGUUAUCCAGGAACCAUCCCGAAUCUGCAAGACCACGAACUUGAAUAGAAGUAUGCCCCAAUCCUUCCAAAAGCUCUGCAACACGAUCUACGUUCAGCAGAACUCCUGUACCUCCAGCGCUGUGUUUGGAAUCUGUAAACAGCCUUGAUCCUGACUUAAGUCAAGAGGUGCCACCGAAGCCCAUGGAUGUAAAAGGUCGGUGCUUGAGAGAGAGCAAGGAGCCGCAUGAAGACAUCUGUCCAGCAGGCUCUCAUUUCGAUGGCCUCCUGUCCUCACCUGUUGGUCAGAUGCUGCCCACAUCACACAGUCUAGUCUGGGAUCAGGAGGUGUCUGCGGGCUCCUGACCAUCCCCUGACUGGAAACUGACGACGAGGUCUUUCAAAGGAUCGCUGUCUGUGUUUGUUUAUAUUCAGAGAGGAUGUCCAGAUUGGCUGCAUUUCAUUGGAGAUUGAGCACAACGUGAAAAGCCUGAAUCAAAGGAAGCCGUGGAAUGUGUUGGGGUAAAAAUGAACAUGAAAUGAAUGACGACUGCUUAGAGGGCUCUGACUGUGUGUGUCAUUGCUCUUUUUAGACCCAAAUAACACAGCAGGUUUGUCAAGCUAAGGAGAAUACCACAGUGUCACAUACAGUCACCUCAGGGAGGAGCUGCUACUGCCCAGGAUGACACUGCUCUGUCACCUGUCACCUCCUCACUCUUUGCUUUGAAGUCCAAGCUCUCUUUGCAUGCCAGCCCCGGGCGAACUCAGAAAAUAAUCCUAAGGAUGCCUGGUUCCUAUGGCAGCUGUAGCUCCAUGGAGCCGUGAGAUCCUGGACAGUGGCGGAGGGAUACGGACACCAAGCCUUUUCACUGUGUGCAAUGAGACAUAUCAUGGCCCGUUCCAGACUUAUUGAGGGUACAGGAUAUUGGCUCAUUGACACUUGACAUGGUACUGCUCUUAAAUGGAAUAACAUCUUGGUGUUUAAUUAAUGGCUAUUUUAAUUUAAUAAUUGUAAAUCUUUAAAUCUGUAAACACAUACUUAGCAAGGCACUGAUUUAAA